AGGACGAACGCUUGCGGCGUGCCUAAGAAAUGCAAGUCGAGCGGGGGAGCAAUCCCUAGCGGCGAACGGUCGCGUAACACGUAAGCAACCUGCCCGAAAGACCGGGACAACAGCCCGAAAGGGCUGCUAAUACCGGAUGUGUCCACUUUGCCUCAUGGCUUAGUGAGUAAAUCAUUUAUGGCUUUCGGAGGGGCUUGCGGCCUAUCAGCUAGAUGGCGGUGUAACGGACCCCCAUGGCGACGACGGGUAGCUGGUCUGAGAGGAUGGUCAGCCGGACUGGGACUGAGAUACGGCCCAGACUCCUACGGGGGGCAGCAAUUAGGAAUCUUGUGCAAUGGGCGAAAGCCUGACACAGCGACGCCGCGUGAGGGAGGAGGCCUUGGGUUGUAACCUCUUUUGACGAGGAAGAACACAAUGACGGUUACUCGUCGAAUAACGCCCCGGACUAACCUCCGCGCCAGCAGCCGC
rnacentral:rRNA from 1 species